rnacentral:rRNA from 1 species
AAGGGGAGCAAUCCCUGAGUAAAGUGGCGACCGGGUGAGUAACACGUGACUAACCUACCCUCGAGUGUGGAAUAACAUCGGGAAACCGAUGCUAAUACCGCAUAACAUCGCAAGAUCAAAGGAGCAAUCCGCUUGAGAAGGGGGUCGCGGCUGAUUAGCUAGUUGGCGGGGUAACGGCCCACCAAGGCGAAGAUCGGUAGCCGGCCUGAGAGGGCGCACGGCCACACUGGAACUGAAACACGGUCCAGACUCCUACGGGAGGCAGCAGUGGGGAAUUUUGCGCAAUGGGGGAAACCCUGACGCAGCAACGCCGCGUGGAGGAUGAAGCCCCUUGGG